UACGGAGGAUGCAAGCGUUAUCCGGAAUCAUUGGGUUUAAAGGGUGCGUAGGCGGGAUUGUAAGUCAGUGGUGAAAUUUCCGGGCUUAACCUGGGCGCUGCCAUUGAUACUGCAGUUCUUGAGUAUUGGAGAGGCAAGUGGAAUUCCUAGUGUAGCGGUGAAAUGCAGAGAUAUUAGGAGGAACACCGAUGGCGAAGGCAUCUUACCAGAACGGCUUCGACAGUGAGGGACGAAAGCUGGGGGAGCAAAC
rnacentral:rRNA from 1 species